AUACGGAGGGUGCAAGCGUUAAUCGGAAUUACUGGGCGUAAAGCGUGCGUAGGUGGUUUGUUAAGUUAGAUGUGAAAGCCCCGGGCUCAACCUGGGAACUGCAUUUGAAACUGGCAUACUAGAGUAUAGGAGAGGAAAGUGGAAUUUCAGGUGUAGCGGUGAAAUGCGUAGAUAUCUGAAGGAACAUCAAUGGCGAAGGCAGCUUUCUGGACUAGUACUGACACUGAGGUACGAAAGCGUGGGUAGCAAACAGGAUUAGAAACCCCAGUAGUCC
rnacentral:rRNA from 1 species